CAGGCGCUCCAUGAAAAUUCUGGGUGUUCUGUCGUCAGAUGGUCGCCUGGAACUACCGCUCUUUUCAGGGGGUAGGUAGUUCCGUUUCUGCAACCCAUAAUUUUUGAAGUAUCUCGAAUUUUUAUGCUUUUUGACCUGAAACUCAAUAAACUAAAACGAAAAUAAGCAACCAAAAACAAAAGCAAGUUAUAUUUACACUUACCAGUGGGUUGCCUCCC
rnacentral:lncRNA from 1 species